UACGUAGGGUGCGAGCGUUGUCCGGAAUUAUUGGGCGUAAAGAGCUCGUAGGCGGUGUGUCACGUCGGCCGUGAAAACCUGCAGCUUAACUGUGGGCGUGCGGUCGAUACGGGCAUCACUGGAGUUCGGCAGGGGAGACUGGAAUUCCUGGUGUGAGCGGUGAAAUGCGCAGAUAUCAGGAGGAACACCGAUGGCGAAGGCAGGUCUCUGGGCGAUUAA
rnacentral:rRNA from 1 species